rnacentral:rRNA from 1 species
UACGUAGGGUGCGAGCGUUAAUCGGAAUUACUGGGCGUAAAGCGUGCGCAGGCGGUUUUUUAAGUCAGAUGUGAAAUCCCCGGGCUUAACCUGGGAACUGCGUUUGAAACUACAAGGCUAGAGUGUGGCAGAGGGGGGUGGAAUUCCACGUGUAGCAGUGAAAUGCGUAGAGAUGUGGAGGAACACCGAUGGCGAAGGCAGCCCCCUGGGUUAACACUGACGCUCAGGCACGAAAGCGUGGGGAGCAAACAGG